rnacentral:rRNA from 1 species
AGGCGGCGAACGGGUGAGUAACACGUGAGUAACCUGCCCUAGGCUUUGGGAUAACCCUCGGAAACGGGGGCUAAUACCGAAUAUUCAUGCGAGGUGGCAUCACAUCGUGUGGAAAGUUUUUCGGCCUGGGAUGGGCUCGCGGCCUAUCAGCUUGUUGGUGGGGUGAUGGCCUACCAAGGCGACGACGGGUAGCCGGCCUGAGAGGGCGACCGGCCACACUGGGACUGAGACACGGCCCAGACUCCUACGGGAGGCAGCAGUGGGGAAUAUUGCACAAUGGGCGGAAGCCUGAUGCAGCGACGCCGCGUGAGGGAUGAAGGCCUUCGGGUUGUAAACCUCUUUCGACAGGGACGAAGCGCAAGUGACGGUACCUGGAGAAGAAGCGCCGGCCAACUACGUGCCAGCAGCCGCGGUAAGACGUAGGGCGCGAGCGUUGUCCGGAUUUAUUGGGCGUAAAGAGCUCGUAGGCGGCUUGUUGCGUCAGCUGUGAAAACCCGCAGCUCAACUGUGGGCUUGCAGCUGAUACGGGCAGGCUUGAGUUCGGUAGGGGAGACUGGAAUUCCU